AGGCGGCUGACACGGCCAGGAUGACGGGUUGAAAACCCGUCGAAACAGACACCGGUUGGAAACCGGUGCCACACA
rnacentral:tRNA from 1 species